UGAAUAUAUUGUAUGCCGAUUUACAUGUAAGGAUCAGGUUUGAUCUGAAGGGUAGGGAAAAUAGCGAAUUGUUUGGUUUUACAGUGUCGACGCGCCGCACAUCGUCACCCAAAUGUUCGUGGAACACCCCCUUCCGGAAGAUAGCCCACUUUGUUAGCGCGAGGCAGCAAAACGCCAUUACAACCAGGUUGAAGAGUUUUAGCAGUGCGAUAGAAUUCUUCGUUCUUGUAGCUUUCUUCAAUUCACUGUUAGCCAUGAGAGGAAUAUUCCCGCGCGUUUUGCCCUCGCGUGCUAACAAACUCAAGUUGUUAUUAUUUGUAAAAAUGCCUAAUGGCUGACUACCUAACUACCUAUAAAUUUCCUGCCAGAAGGUACGAAGAGGGAGGUUCGGUCCGGUCACAACAGAUUUCACUAAAAUAUCAAUCCGUGAAGGCAUGAAUGAUUUCGCUACCCGGGCAAAAUAUGGAUGUUGAAAUAUGGAUAUUGUCACGACACCAACUCGCGCGGGUAACGCGCGAGAUGAGUGAACGCUCCCAGCAUUCUCUGCAACAACAGUUCGUCCAUGUUGUUCAACCGCGAAAGUUGAACGAGACUGAAAAAAGGCAGACUAAAAGGGAAGAACUUCGCUUGGAGCUGGAGAGCUUUGUUGGUGAGCGAUUGAACUCGGAUUGCAGUGAUCACAUGUGAUACACGCAGCUGACUACAGUGGGUGGCCCAACUGUGAAAACUUGCAUCAACUUGCAUGCAUAGGUCAUCUUGGCCACAGUGAGUGCAAGUCAUCGCAGGUCAACCUGAAGACAAAAUACCUGAGGACAAGACAGGAGGAGAAUGGAUUAUUCAUAAUCCAUUUAUUUUUAUUAUCCAUAAGCUUAUUCUAGAAUGAUAUAUAUAUAUUUUUUUGCAAUCCAGGACCAGGUAAACACUUGUGUUGUUAUGCAAUGAUCAAAUCAAAACUUAACCUGGUUCCUUCAGGGGGAAUCCCCCAAGGGUAUCCCUACAGGGUACCCAAGUCAUCAAAUUCGACAACAGAAAAAAAUUAAAAUGCACCUUUUUUAAUUGAUGCACUAUUAUCGCAGGAUCCAAAAUAGUCAGGGAAAUUUUCAUUUUUCAAAAUCAGGGAAAGUUCAGGGAAUAAAUGGAGAAAAUGGGAAGGUUCCCUUUUGUACUGUACCUU